GAUCAAGUGACUAAGUGCAUGUGGUGGAUGCCUUGGCGAUCACAGGCGAAGAAGGACGUGGCAGCCUGCGAAAAGCUGCGGGGAGCUGGCAAACAAGCUUUGAUCCGCAGAUAUCCGAAUGGGGAAACCCACUUACCGCGAGGUAGGUACCCUGGACUGAAUACAUAGGUCCAGAGGGGCGAACCGGGUGAACUGAAACAUCUAAGUAACCCGAGGAAAAGAAAUCAACCGAGAUUCCGAAAGUAGCGGCGAGCGAAAUCGGAUCAGCCGGUGCGUUUUAGCCAUUGUGAUAGUUGAACAGUCUGGAAAGUCUGGCCGUAGCAGGUGAUAGCCCUGUAGACGAAAUCACGAAGGUGGAACUAGGCGCACGACAAGUAGGGCGGGACACGUGAAAUCCUGUCUGAAGAUGGGGGGACCAUCCUCCAAGGCUAAAUACUCGUGAUCGACCGAUAGUGAACCAGUACCGCGAGGGAAAGGCGAAAAGAACCCCGGAAGGGGAGUGAAAUAGAUCCUGAAACCGCAUGCAUACAAACAGUAGGAGCCUCCUUAGUGGGGUGACUGCGUACCUUUUGUAUAAUGGGUCAGCGACUUACAUUCAGUGGCAAGCUUAACCGAAUAGGGAAGGCGUAGCGAAAGCGAGUCCGAAUAGGGCGAUUUAGUCGCUGGGUGUAGACCCGAAACCAGGUGAUCUAUCCAUGGCCAGGUUGAAGGCACGGUAACACGUGCUGGAGGACCGAACCCACUAAUGUUGAAAAAUUAGGGGAUGAGCUGUGGAUAGGGGUGAAAGGCUAAACAAACCUGGAAAUAGCUGGUUCUCUCCGAAAACUAUUUAGGUAGUGCCUCACGUAUUGCUGCCGGGGGUAGAGCACUGUUAUGGCUAGGGGGUCAUGGCGACUUACCAAACCAUGGCAAACUCCGAAUACCGGCAAGUAUGAGCGUGGGAGACAGAGCACCGGGUGCUAACGUCCGGACUCAAGAGGGAAACAACCCAGACCGCCAGCUAAGGUCCCUAACUAUUGCUCAGUGGGAAACGAAGUGGGAAGGCAUAGACAGUCAGGAGGUUGGCUUAGAAGCAGCCACCCUUUAAAGAAAGCGUAAUAGCUCACUGAUCGAGUCGUCCUGCGCGGAAGAUGUAACGGGGCUUAAGCAAUAGACCGAAGCUGCGGGUGUGUACUUUGUACACGCGGUAGGAGAGCGUUCUGUAAGCCUGCGAAGGUGGCUUGUAAAGGCUGCUGGAGGUAUCAGAAGUGCGAAUGCUGACAUGAGUAGCGAUAAAGGGGGUGAAAAGCCCCCUCGCCGUAAGUCCAAGGUUUCCUGCGCAACGUUCAUCGGCGCAGGGUGAGUCGGCCCCUAAGGCGAGGCAGAGAUGCGUAGCUAAUGGGAAGCUGGUUAAUAUUCCAGCACCGUCGUAUGGUGCGAUGGGGGGACGGAUUGCGGAAGAUCAUCAGGGUGUUGGACGUCCCUGUUGCUGCACUAUAGAAGGCGCUUAGGUAAAUCCGGGCGCGUAAUUCAAGGGUGUGGCUCGAGUGAACUUAGGUUCACGGAGUGAUUGGAAGUGGUUCCAGGAAAAGCCUCUAAGCUUCAGCCAUACGAGACCGUACCGCAAACCGACACAGGUGGACGGGAUGAAUAUUCCAAGGCGCUUGAGAGAACUCAGGAGAAGGAACUCGGCAAAUUGAUACCGUAACUUCGGGAGAAGGUAUGCCCCGGUAGUGUGAAGAGCCUGCGCUCGGAGCAUGAAGGGGCCGCAGAGAAUCGGUGGCUGCGACUGUUUAUUAAAAACACAGCACUCUGCCAAGACGAAAGUCGACGUAUAGGGUGUGACGCCUGCCCGGUGCCGGAAGGUUAAGUGAUGGGGUGCAAGCUCUUGAUCGAAGCCCCGGUAAACGGCGGCCGUAACUAUAACGGUCCUAAGGUAGCGAAAUUCCU
rnacentral:ncRNA from 1 species